rnacentral:lncRNA from 12 species
AUGUCUCGGUCAUCAGACCAAACGGCAGCCAGUCGUGGGCUGGCCAACAACCUGGUCCUUGGACAUGAAGGAGCACAGCAUUUGACAGAGGUCAUCUGGCCACAGUUCUCCAACAUGGAAGGACGUGACGUGUUAUUCAUUUUUGAUUUCCAGAGCAUCUCAGAAUUCAGAAAGGUAGACUGACAGGCUGACUAGGGGCUGCGCAGUACUAUUACGGAACGGAGCUAUUUUGAAGGAUCUUCCCCCUCCAUGUGCACUCUGUGUAAGGAUGGUCUUGGCUACAGAUCUGUGUAGCCACUUAUAGCUGAAAGAACCAAACUGUGGCUUCUGUAUCAUCAAUUAGCUCUAUUACUUGCAAAGCAGACAUUGUGGUGACUGGUCCAUCGAGUUUUUCCAGCUGGGUUAGCAGCUCAGAUCCACUGUGAAGGUUUCUUCAGAGACCAAAGCUACUGUGAAGUCUUGGAUCUUUGAAGCAGUGUCACCCUUCUUUACCCCCAACUGGUAACCCUCUCUUUCUACCUCACUGGUUACUAGACAUUUCAAAUGUCCUACUGCAGCUACUGCCCUUCCAGGUUGGACAAGCAAAGUGCGGGCAUUUAGAAAAGUGGUUCCUAUUAACAUGUUACCUUCAGCUAGAAGGCCAGGGAGGAGUCGGCUUCUCCCAGGGAAGCAUUAGCACUUUCUUACUCUGCUGGGUGAAUUCUCUCUGCGGAAACUAGACCUGAAUUUUCUAUUGACUUGCCCACUCUCGAGGCUGCUGUUGUUGAGAGGUGAGAGGAUGUGGGCACAAAUAGAGUGCCCAAGACUUCACAGCAUUUCCAUGGGGGCGGGGGGGGGGGCAAAUCCCCAAAAAGCAAAAUAAAGGCUUAUUUGGAGAGGGAUGAGGCCA